AUUGAACGCUGGCGGCAUGCCUUACACAUGCAAGUCGAACGGCAGCGCGGACUUCGGUCUGGCGGCGAGUGGCGAACGGGUGAGUAAUACAUCGGAACGUACCCUGUUGUGGGGGAUAACUAGUCGAAAGAUUAGCUAAUACCGCAUACGACCUGAGGGUGAAAGUGGGGGACCGCAAGGCCUCACGCAGCAGGAGCGGCCGAUGUCUGAUUAGCUAGUUGGUGGGGGAAAGGCCCACCAAGGCGACGAUCAGUAGCUGGUCUGAGAGGACGAUCAGCCACACUGGGACUGAGACACGGCCCAGACUCCUACGGGAGGCAGCAGUGGGGAAUUUUGGACAAUGGGGGCAACCCUGAUCCAGCAAUGCCGCGUGUGUGAAGAAGGCCUUCGGGUUGUAAAGCACUUUUGUCCGGAAAGAAAUCGCGCUGGUUAAUACCUGGCGUGGAUGACGGUACCGGAAGAAUAAGCACCGGCUAACUACGUGCCAGCCGCCGUAAUAC
rnacentral:rRNA from 1 species